UAGCCUUCCGAUUACUUCUUCGGUUGUCAUUGUCUCUAGGUCUCCAAAUUGCUCAAGUGUUGAAGCAAUUUGAAGGAACUUGGUCGAGACUGCCCUUAGCAGUUUCUUAACAACGUAGGAUUCAGUCAUUGUGUCCCCCAAUGUUCGCAUGGUGCUCACGAUGUUGCUUACUUUCGCAGCAAACUCAUUAACUCCUUCUGAUUCUUUCAUGUUUAAGGAUUCAAACUCAGCCUUCAAUGUUUGAAUCCUCGCUGCUUUGACUCGGUCUGCCCCCAUGAACAUUGUCUUCAGUGCCUCCCAAGCUUCUUUGGCUGCUUUCUUCUCAGCCAAGGACAAUAGCAAAUCCUCUGGUAUCCCUUGAUAGAUAGCAGCCAAAGCCAUCUUAUCCUUCUUUACUUCAACAGCAGUGUUUGAAGUCCUGGGUUCCACUGCAUCCCAGACUCCUUGGGCCUGCAUGAAAACUCUCAUCUUUAUGGCCCAUGCAGAGUAAUUGCUUCUUGACAACAUCGGAUAAUGAAAGGUGAUUUGUCCUUCUUUCUCUCCAUUUCCAUUGCCUCCUGACAUCUCUUCACGAGACUGAUACUUUGGCAUGCAACUACCAGGCUUUGCUCUGAUACCAAAUGUUGG
rnacentral:lncRNA from 1 species